rnacentral:rRNA from 1 species
GACGAACGCUGGCGGCGUGCCUAAUACAUGCAAGUCGAACGCAGUGGGGACGGGUGAGUAACACGUGGGUAACCUCCCAUCAGAGGGGAUAACACUUGGAAACAGGUGCUAAACCGAUAUUGACGGAUGGACCCGCGGUGCAUUACCUAGUGGGUGAGGUAACGUCUCACCAAGGCCACGAGGCAUAGCCGGCCUGAGAGGGUGUGCGGCCACACUGUGACUUAGACAAGGCCCAGACUCCUAAGAGAGGCAGCAGUAGGGAAUCUUCGGCAAUGGAGGAAAGUAUGACCGAGCAACGCCGCGUGAGUGAAGAAGGUUUUCGGAUCGUAAAACUCUGUUGUUAGAGAAGCGGUAUCUAACCAGAAAGCCACGGCUAACUACGUGCAAGCAGCCGCGGUAAUUC